rnacentral:lncRNA from 1 species
ACGAAGACUGCGUUUCAAGCACAGAGUUUACCUAAAAACCAAUCUUCUCCCCUUUAACUUAUUUUCCACCAAGUCAAAUGGCAAUUCCUUUUUAAUUAGCCAGGGGUGUUAAAUAACAAAAGCAAGCUGUAUUUUCUUCUUCCUUUCCAGGUGACCAGGAUUUGGAUCAAUAGAUUUUGGCUGUUCUUCUUUCCUGGAGCCAGAAUGACAAGGACCCCAGGGCAGGAUCUGCACGUUGAUUCUAAACAACUUUCUUUACUGGAGGUCACUUGGGGAAAUUUUCAAAGGAACCCCACAUAGCAGUGAAAGACAACACUGACCUUCUGGCUGAUGCCCUUGGCAUAUUAAUAUGUGAAUGUGUAUCACAGGCUAGUUUUUGGGAAAGGACGUGUCAAGGCAUGCUUGUUACUACACAGGGGGGAAUGAGGGCAUCUACCACAGAGGAUUGUCCCUCUUCUAUGUCCCUUACAUCAGUGGCUCUUCUAGGUUUCCUCCUGAGAGUGUCAUCCAGGCACUGGAGAUCAGCAUCUUAAGGACUACCCACCCCGCAAAUUCCCUGCGGGAUCCUGAGUACCUGGAGCUGGUGUUAAAAAGAUCAUUAAGCACAGAGCAUUUCUUCCCUCCCUGGAGCUCCUGCUAAUUUGUGUUUAAAGACUAGACUUGAGCAGAGUUAAUAUUUACAGCGAGGUAAUAUAUUAUUUACACGGACUCCAGACACCAAAACAUCUAUAAAUUCACACAUAGUUAACCUCCUUCUGCUCCUUCUUUCCUUUACUUAUUAAGUUAAUUCCAGACCUACCCUGUUAUCAGAUAUAAUGAUCUUUCAAUAAUUUUACCCACAAUUCCGUUAAGAGGAAAGUAGAAAAUGAAGGACUUGUCAAAUUCUUAUUUAACAUGAGAUUCCCUUACAGACUUAAGAGGAAGUGGUUCUGGGUAAGGUGAUAAAAUGGUCAAUGAUAAAAAUGUGAAGAAAAAAUAAAUUAUUGGCAUUUUGUCCUUUGGAGUUAUAUGCAAAUUUCAGAGGAAGAAAUGUAUUUCAAGGGGUGAAAUAUUCUUCCAGAAUGCAACAAGUUAUUCCAGAAGAUUUCCAAGAAUAAGAGUGUACAUAUGAACAAUGCUAUUCUCAAAGGCAAAUUAUACUGUUUAACAAUAUGUGAGAUCAUUAACACAAGUUGACAAAUUAUGUAUUGC